AAGGAUUAUAAGAGUUGGAAGAGCAUUAGUAUUGCUAAGGUGUGACCAUAAAAAUCACAGGUUGGCCCCAUGUUUUUUUGCACUCUUUCAAGCUCACACCCCAUGUGCUACGCCAAUCCAUAUAUCUCACAAACACUUCUCAUAAUCCCAAUUGAUACCAAUAUUCUCAUUCUCUAAAGGUCAUGAAAGGAGUUGAAGAUCAAAGGAAGGGACAAAGGGGAAUAUAUAUGUAAAAAGAAAAAUAAUGGAGAAUUACUUGAGAUGGGUACAAGCUUUGGCUACGGCAUGGGGAUUCAUGUUGUUGGUGGGUCUUUUAUGUUGUUGUCUAAGCACCAAACCUCGACAAGAUGGCGAUGUUAACUCCGGUAGCGGCGGUUGCACUUGUGAUGGUGGUGGCCAUGGUUGUGUAUGAUGUUUAUAAAUUAUAACUAUUCAAUCAUCAUAUGCUAACAUGAGAGGGUUAUUAAUUCAAUUCCAGCUGUUUUUUGGGAUGGUGGGUUAUUAAUCCAUUAGGUUGGGGGUAUACUUCAUGUACAUAUUUUUAUUGAUUUAUUUUUUAUAAAAAUAUAGAUUUGUUAUAGUAUUGAAUAUGUUCAUAAUCAUGGGAGGAUUCCCAGAUAAUUUAGUAAUUUGGAUUAUAAAUAGAGGGUUGUAGAUAGAUAUAUGCAAAAAUUAUUGUUAAUGUUCUAUU